GUGCUUCCCGUUUUACCUCUUAACUUCACGAGAAUCCAUGUGAAUGCACUGUUUGUGUAUAGCCUCUUUUGUUCCACAUUGCAUUCAAGUUUUUGGGUCACUGUAGCUCAUUCCUUUUCGUUGCACUACACUUGUGUUUCUCUGCGUGGACCUGUCACAAUUUAACAUCCGUCGUAUGAUCUGUGAACACAGGGUGCUUUUCUUUUGGAAUACUAUGAAGAGAGCUCCUGUGACCAUUAUUGUCCAGGAACAUGAUGCAAAUAAGCAGAAGUUUCUCAGGUAUUUGCCUAAGAGUGCAAUAGCUAAGUUAUAGGGUACUUGAGACUUCAAUUUAGCCAGAAAAUAAAAGUACUAUUUCCAAGUGGCGUGCCGGUUUACAUUUCUAAAAAGUUGAUGAGCGUUUCCACUGUUCCACAGGAGUACGUGGAAUUUUCAGUCUUAUAUAGCCAAUCUUGUGGGUGGGUAUGAUGUCUCUUGGUGGCUGUACAGUCUGCGUUUCUCGGAAUGCUGAUGAGGUUGAACACCUUCACAAAUGUUUUUUGACCCAUCCUUUACAUUUUGACUCCCCUAAAAUGAGCUCUCCUCCCCACCCAUCUGUCCCAACUGCUCUACUCCGGGAUAACAGUGAAUGACUCUCCAUUGUCAAAUCAAACGAUUGACGCUCAGUGCUCACCUGUGGACCCAUCAGCAACAUUUCAAAGAUAAUCGGUGCGUUCCCAUUUGCCUUUUGGAAGGAUCACUCUGCCUGCUGGGUGGAAAAUAGGCUGCUGGGGAAGCCAGGGUGGAAGCAGGGAGCCCAGUUAAAGACUUCUGCGGUUGUCUAGGAGGGAGCUGAUGGUGACUUGGAGUGCAUUGGAGAGUUGGGGGUGGUGAUAAGAGGUCACAUUCUGGAUAUAUGUGGAAGGUAGAGCCAAGGGAAUCUGCGGACGGACUGGAUUUGGAGUGUAAAUCUCUCCUAGAAACACUGUCUUCUCUUGGUUUUCAGGACAACAUUCUCUCUUGGUGGUACCCCUACCACACCGGCCAGUCUUUCUCCCACUUCUUUUCUGAAUCCUCCUCAUCUUAUCCACAGCUACACAUGGGACGCCCUGGAAGUAAGUCCUCACCCAGUCCUGGGAUCUCUUCCUUUCUCUAGCUCUACUCGGAGUGCUCCUGAGGGCAGUGUCACCCAGUCCCGUGGCUUGGAAUAUCAUCUGUACACGGACAACUGUCAGAUGUACAUCUCUGCUGAUUUCUCUCCUGAGUUCCAGACUCAGUCAUCUUGCUGCCUAGCUGACAUGCCCACUUGGGUGUUUAAUGGGCGUCUCUAACUAAAGGUGUCUGAGGCCUGCGCGCGCUCUCUCUCUGUCUCUCUCUGUCUCUGUCUCACUCUGUCUCUCUCUCUCUUUCUCUCAUACUCUACGUCUGCUCCAUCAGCAGAUCCUUUCAGCUCUACCUCACAUUAUACCCAGACUCCAGCCUCCUCUCACCACCGCCACUUCAGCCACCUUCCUGAAAGCUGCCAACAUCACCCACUUGGCAAAUCACAAGAGUCUCUAAGGGUCCUCUGCUUCUGCGGUUGCCCAGUGCCCUGCACCUGCCUGUUCCUUGUUGACAUGGCAGAUGGAGUGAUCCUUCAGUGCUUCUCAGUUCCGGCCCCUCCUUUGCUAAAACCCUUCCAUGCUUCCCAUCUCCACUGACACAAAAGCAUCGUUCCUUACCAAGUCUUCACGUGACCUGUCUCCAGCCACAGCCCUCGACCACUGCUCUCCGCGAUGCUCCCUCUGUCCAGACAUGCUGACCUCCUUGCUGUGCUUCAAACAUGCCAAGCGAGCUCCUGUCUCAGGACCUUUUCACUUAGAGGUCCCUCUGCUUGGCUUGCCCUUCCCCUGAUACCUGCAGUGCUUCUUCCUCACUUUCUCCAUGUCCCUCAGAUGCCGCCUUAUCAGACAGAACUUCUCUGACCACGGCUUAAAAUAGCACUCCACCCUCACAUCACUCCCGUUCCCCGGGCACUGCUUCAUUUUGUUCCAUCGCACAUAUUCCAACCUGGCACAUCGUAUACUUAUCUGUUGACUGAUGUCAGGUUUGUAAUUUUUUAAACGUUCAUGGGAUCAGAGACUUUGUCUCAUUUACUAUCAUUUCCACGGUACUAGAACAGUUCUUAGGUAAAGACUCAACCGAGGUGGAAUGAAUGAACGAAUGAGUGAGUGAAUAGAGAGGGGUAACCUGUAUCGGUCCCUUAGUAAACUCAGACUUCUGUAGAAAGCAUCCAGCUUGGACAGCAAGGCCUGGAAUGUGGAAGUUGGCCCGCCCUGAGCCACCUGCACAUUAAGGAUUGAAGAUACGGUGGGGAGAGGGAGAAAGCUAGAAUGCCUGAUUCAGGAUCCAGGAAGCAGGAUUGCUUUUAAUGCCACCGUGGUCUUGGGUGGGGCUCUGAGGAAAAGAAUAAAGUCCCUACCAGUCUUACCCCUAACUGGGCCCAAGGCACACAUCAACCAAAUCUUGCUACUCACCCCAGAGAUUUAUAAUUUACUAGGGGAAAUAGAAUGUGUUUGCAAAUGACUGUAUGUCAGGUCAGAAUGCCGUGGAUAUAAAGGAAAUUCAGUAUUAUGACUUGAUAAUGGAUAAAUCUUGUCGUUGCUGAACAACGUACAGUGAAUAAUACAAUCUUACAUCCAUCAUCGCAUUUUAUUUUAGAUCUUCUCGGCAUUUAUUUGAGCGCCCGCUGCACGCCAAGCGCUGCGCUAGGUAGCAGCACACACGUGCCCUAAUUUAAUCUCUCAGCCACUCUGUGAGAGGCAUCCUUUGUGCGAUCGUCUUACUAGGGAGGAAUCCCAGGCCCGAGGAAGUGAAGUUCCAUGUCUAAGACCAGUCAGCCAGAAUGUAACACCCGAGACUUAGGGACAUGGACUAUGAAAGCCCCCUCAAUCAGAGAAAAGGUGACUUUCUUCUUUUGAAAAAAGGUGCUCUUUUGCUCAGAAAAUUCUUCCCGGUAGGAUUCGUCAGGCUAGAAGGACGCAGGACUCAAAGCUUACGCGGCACUCACGCUCUUAGCAUCCGAGGAGAAGACAAGAGCUCUCACAGUGCCUAUGGGAUACGUUCUGAGAAAUGUUCCGAUAGGCGACUUCGUUGUUGUGUGAACAUCACAGAGCGUACUCACGCAAUCCUAGAUGGCAUGGCCUACUACACACCCAGGCUAUAUGGGACUCAUCUUAGGGCACCAGCAUCGUAUAUGCGGUCCGUCAUUGACCAAAACGUCGUUUUGCGGCACAUGGCUGUGUUUGGAUUGGUUAUAAAAACAGCUAGUCUGACAGUAAAGAUGACUAAAAAUCGUAUCUGUCCUGGAAAAUCCGCGAAAAAGCUCACAGGUUCUGUUUUUAGGUGCAUCGUUAUAUAAAACGUAAAUACUUCAAUGCAGACUCUCAGUAGUUGGGGGAUUUGAUUCGAUGUACUGAUACCAUUUUGUUGCAACAGUUUUAGUUUUCCUAUGAGGAGAUUCCCGCCUGUGAGCUUUCCUUAAAUCGUGACACAUCAGUUACCUCAAAGUUGGGGUCCGUUCUCAUUUUCAAAGAGCAAGGAAUUAAUUGGUGGGCUUUUCGUUAUUUGGCAUAUUUAUUUGCAUUUCUUUAUUUUUCUAGUGACCUAAUGUAUCCACGGAACUAUAAAGGAUGGCUUUGGGUGGAUCUGGGGUCAGGGGAGGGCAUGAGGGAGAGCCUUUUCUCCUGUUCCCGGGCACUGACACUAUGCCUUUUAAAUUUCUAUUUUCCAUGUGAAAUUGUCUGCACUAACACCCAGCUCGUGAUUAUUAGGUGACUGAAAAUGCGUUACUGGAAGAAAUGCUGUGGUUUCGGAGUUUAUUCCCUUUGUCUCUUACAAGGUUUUCUUUCCGUUUCUUCAUGAAUGCAUGGGUACCUCCAGAAUUUGAGAUUCUGAGAACAUGUUCCACGAGUAAACACCUUUCUCACUCUCAAAGCGCCAACUGGAAAUUUCACUCAACGACAAGGAUGCAUAUAUGCCCCCUCUUCUAUAGAAAACAACCACUUGAUGGUCUGUUUCAGACUGACUCUCCUGUAUUUACAAAAAUAUUUUCUAACUGUGAGAAGAGUCACUACGUCUUUGUCAUUCACAAAUUGAUCCAACACUUUCGUUAUCCUCGUAUAUUUCAUCCCGGCAUAAUCUCUUUAUCCGAGCUGCAGAGGAGAGAGUGCAAUUUGACUCCAAAUUAUGAGGACAGUCCCCAAAACACUCCUACGUGGACCAGAAAAGAUGGCAGGCUAGAGACAUCCAAAGAAAGCGAGGACCGAUCCGAGUCUCCCAGGGAGGGGCAUGACCUCUGGACUCCAGGAGCGCUAAUAUUGGCAGCAUCCAAACGUCCUUAAAGAAGGCCAUUAAGUUAGCUAAGCACAUUUACCUGGAACUUAAAUCGUGAUUCCCUUAUAUUUGGUAAGUUGUUAAGACUACGUGAUGCCAAUGAGCUUUUAUUAUAGUCACCAUCAGCAUGUGCAGUUAGGAAGGCUGCCCCGUCUGUUCUCCACUGAAGUGCUUCUCAGCAGAAAUCCUCCACACCUUCUUCAAAAGUCUCUAAUGACAAGUUUACGUUUGGAGGCCUUCAGUCACCCACUUUCACCCUCUUUCUCAAAGCUCUCAGUUGACUGCCAACUAACGGUGUGUUUUCGCCAUGAAUCUUGAUCUUCUGGCAUGGGACAUUCUGAGAUUUGGUUACCAGCAAAUCUUGUGGCCUGGAAAGUUACAUAACUGAAGGCUUGAUUUUGGAUUUUGCUCUGAAGUUUAGUUUGUGUUCCACCCACAGUAAUUAACAUAACCCUCUUGAAAGCGGAAACCAGGUCUGUCUUAGCCUCUUUGGUUUGUCCUCUUUUGCUUACAUAGGGUGGGCAGUUAGAAGAGGGACUCAGCGAAUGUAUAGUCAGGGAUUCAUGCUCAGGAACUUCCCUGAGACUCAGAACACUCCACCUGUAACAACACCGCACCUGAGCAAGGUUUUGGUUGUGCCAUGCCUCGGGACAAGCAGGUAGCAUCCAUAGAAGCUCCCCUCCUACGUUUC
rnacentral:lncRNA from 1 species